rnacentral:rRNA from 1 species
AGUGAACGCUGGCGGUAGGCCUAACACAUGCAAGUCGAACGGCAGCACAGUAAGAGCUUGCUCUUACGGGUGGCGAGUGGCGGACGGGUGAGGAAUACAUCGGAAUCUACUUUUUCGUGGGGGAUAACGUAGGGAAACUUACGCUAAUACCGCAUACGCCCUACGGGUGAAAGCAGGGGAUCUUCGGACCUUGCGCGAUUGAAUGAGCCGAUGUCGGAUUAGCUAGUUGGCGGGGUAAAGGCCCACCAAGGCGACGAUCCGUAGCUGGUCUGAGAGGAUGGUCAGCCACACUGGAACUGGGACACGGUCCAGACUACUACGGGAGGCAGCAGUGGGGAAUAUUGGACAGAGGGCGCAAGCCUGAUCCAGCCAUACCGCGUGGGUGAAGAAGGCCUUCGGGUUGUAAAGCCCUUUUGUUGGGAAAGAAAAGCAGCAGGUUAAGACCCCGCUGUUCUGACGGUACCCAAAGAAUAAGCACCGGCUAACUUCGUG